rnacentral:tRNA from 1 species
GCGAAUGUGGCGAAGUGGUUAACGCACCGGAUUGUGGCUCCGGCAUUCAUGAGUUCGAUUCUCAUCAUUCGCCC